CAGCCGCCACGGUAAUACGAAGGUCCCGAGCGUUGUUCGGAAUCACUGGGCGUAAAGGGAGCGUAGGCGGCGUGGUAAGUCAGAUGUGAAAUCCCGGGGCUCAACCCCGGAACUGCAUCCGAUACUGCCAUGCUAGAGGAUCGGAGAGGUAGCUGGAAUUCUUGGUGUAGCAGUGAAAUGCGUGGAGAUCAAGAGGAACACUCGUGGCGAAAGCGAGCUACUGGACAAUAACUGACGCUGAGGCUCGAAGGCCAGGGUAGCGAAAGGGAUUAGAUACCCCCGUAGUCCCUGUCUCUUAUAC
rnacentral:rRNA from 1 species